rnacentral:rRNA from 1 species
UACGUAGGGAGCGAGCGUUGUCCGGAAUUACUGGGCGUAAAGAGCUCGUAGGUGGUUUGUCGCGUUGUUCGUGAAAUUCCCUGGCUUAACUGGGGGCGUGCGGGCGAUACGGGCAGACUGGAGUACUGCAGGGGAGACUGGAAUUCCUGGUGUAGCGGUGAAAUGCGCAGAUAUCAGGAGGAACACCGGUGGCGAAGGCGGGUCUCUGGGCCGAUACUGACGCUGAGGAGCGAAAGCAUGGGGAGCGAACAGG